rnacentral:rRNA from 1 species
AGACUCUCGGCAACGGAUAUCUCGGCUCUUGCAUCGAUGAAGAACGUAGCGAAAUGCGAUACUUGGUGUGAAUUGCAGAAUCCCGUGAACCAUCGAGUCUUUGAACGCAAGUUGCGCCCGAAGCCAUUAGGUCGAGGGCACGCCUGCCUGGGUGUCGCACA